rnacentral:rRNA from 1 species
AUGCACAAGCUCGCAUCGCCCUGGCGCCGAUCUCGCGCGGCUCCUGCGCCUCGCCACCCUCUUCUCCCCAGCUCAGCAGGAGGUUUGCGAGGCCACCACUUGGGCCGCUGCUGCCUCUUCCACCCAGCAGGAGGAGCACGAGCUUCUGCGAGGACCAGAUGCAAGGUAUGUCUCUGUCAUUGGAGCUUGGAGAAGUGCAGCCUGGGGUUAUUAAGAAGAGGGUCAGUAUUGCCCAGAACCGCAAGGAAAGUCUAA